CGCCCAGUUGAAGCUGAUGCUGCUGACAGUGGAAACCUUUUCUGGUCUAAGAAUGGUAAGCAGAAAUAACUAGCAUUUUUCCAACUCAGCACAUCUUACUUCAUCUCACUGAUGUCCCAAAUCAGCUGAGAUGGACCACAUGAACUUCAGCAAGAAGUGUGAAGUCCUGAACCUGUGACAGAACAAUUGCAUGCACCAGAAUGUGCUGAAGCCACCCAUCUGGAAAGCAGCUGACAGAAGCCACUGGGAGUCGUCAUCUUUGUGAGACUGAGGAAGACCACACCUAGCUGCCUGAAUUGCAAUGCUGACUACAUACAUAUAAACAUUUAUUUGCCUGAGAGAACUUUGGAACUACUCUGUUUGUUUAUGUUGAUAAAAUUCACCAGGCUGUUCAAAAGAACAGUAAAAAUGGACAGAAGACUUGGAGGAAAAAAAAAAAAAAUUGGCUUAUAUUGAUGUCUUUUUUUUUUUAAAAAAAAAAAAAGGUGUUGAUUAAAAGAACUGGUUCCCA
rnacentral:lncRNA from 1 species